rnacentral:rRNA from 1 species
UAAGAGACAGCAGUAGCCCGGUAAUACGUAGGUGGCAAGCGUUGUCCGGAAUUAUUGGGCGUAAAGGGCUCGCAGGCGGUUUCUUAAGUCUGAUGUGAAAGCCCCCGGCUCAACCGGGGAGGGUCAUUGGAAACUGGGAAACUUGAGUGCAGAAGAGGAGAGUGGAAUUCCACGUGUAGCGGUGAAAUGCGUAGAGAUGUGGAGGAACACCAGUGGCGAAGGCGACUCUCUGGUCUGUAACCGACGCUGAGGAGCGAAAGCGUGGGGAGCGAACAGGAUUAGAUACCCCUGUAGUCCCUGUCUCUUAUACA